rnacentral:lncRNA from 1 species
UAGGGUUGGCUGAAGAAAAUGCUAAAAGUGGCCAAUUUGAUUGGAAAAAGUAUGAGAAUUCAAAUUAGAAAUGUGACAAAUGCCAAUUUUUCUGAAACAUUUUACCCAUAAUUUAUUGAGUAAAUAGUUUAUUUUUCUAAAAACAACAUAUAUUACUGGUAAGUUAUAGUGUAAAAUGCCUAUAUAUCUGAUAACGCAACACCUUAC